GCCGGGUGUGGUGGCGCACGCCUGUAAUCCCAGCUACUCAGGAGGCUGAGGCAGGAGAAUCGCUUGAACCCGGGAGGCGGAGGUUGCAGUGAGCCAAGAUAGCACCACUGCAUUCCAGCCUGGGUGACAGAGCAAGACUUUGUCUCAA
ensembl:misc_RNA Metazoa_SRP Metazoan signal recognition particle RNA